GGACCUCUGGAGAGAGAAGAGCAUUCCUGAAACCGACUCCAGUUGGCGGCCGUACACUUGAAAGGAAUCAGGAGUCCAUGGACACCCCUCUGUUUUACCGCUCCCCUCCCUCCGGCCUGAGUGAUUUCCUGCUCUCUAAGAUGAAGAGGAUGCAUGAGAUGACUUCCAAGGUUCCUUCCAGAUCCAUCGUCUGCUUCUAUCAUCAGAGCCUUGGAACCACUGUCAUGAAGAGCUCUCACCUGUUUCUGAAAAGGCAACAAGCUCUGUAAGAGCAGCAUGUGUGUUUGCCUGAUGGGUCCAGGUUUCAGAUCCACAUGCUUUUUGUGUGAGGAGCAAACCCCUUUUUACAAGUUAUCUACAAGUUUAUAAAAUAUAAAAAUGUUAAAAAUUCGUGUAAUCAAAAUAUUCUGACUCCAACUCCACUGUUCUUUCUUCUCUGAUACAUUGAAGUUACCUUUGAUUAUUUGUUGAGGAGGAAAGUCUAACUGAGGUCCAAUCAGCUUCAAAUUCAGCAUGAUCCUCCCCCCCAAAAAAAGCUAUACUAACAGUUCAGCAACCAUAAACAUUUAUUAAGCUAUUGCUUAGCACCACUAUUGUGCAAAGUAUUGGGAAUAUAGAAGUAAAAGAGAGGCCUUUUC